rnacentral:rRNA from 1 species
UACGUAGGGGGCUAGCGUUGUCCGGAAUCAUUGGGCGUAAAGAGCGUGUAGGCGGUCCGGUAAGUCCGCUGUGAAAGUCGGGGGUUCAACCCUCGAAUGCCGGUGGAUACUGUCGGGCUAGAGUGCGGAAGAGGCGAGUGGAAUUCCUGGUGUAGCGGUGAAAUGCGCAGAUAUCAGGAGGAACACCUAUUGCGAAGGCAGCUCGCUGGGACGUUACUGACGCUGAGACGCGAAAGCGUGGGGAGCAAACAGG